AGCUUCCGGAGCAGCUGGGACUGCUGGCGCCCGCCACUACGCUCGGCUAAUUUUUUUGUGUUUUUAGUAGAGACGGGCUUUCACCGUGUUGGCCUAGCGGUUCUCCAACUCCUGACCUCAUGAUCCCCCCGCCUCAGCCUCCCAAAGUGCUGGGAUUACAAGCGUGAGCCACCGCGACCCGCCAACACUCUUGACAACAGUGCUGUGCUAAGAACUUGGGGGACUUCAAAAAGUUCACCAGUUCCUGUGUCCAUGGGUGAAAAGAUUUUCUACAUCUUUCCUUGACUAGAAACAGAAGUCCUGAAACAAGAAUAUAACGUCAGGAGGCCAGAGGCUUUGUCCUGCCUAAUGUGUUAUUUCCACACUGAAUAAAAGCACCUGAGUCCUGGUAAGUCUAAUUUGCUAGGUGUGGCAAUAUGACCAGUGAAAAACAACAAGGGCAGCAUUUCCUGCAGUUCGGUGGCACAGUAUGGUUCAAAGAGGUAUAAAAGGAAGUCACAGGCAUUUUAAAAAGGUUGUACAUCUAGCAAUACCUAACAAAAUAGGAAAUCAACUUGGAAAGCCAAUGGCUGUGUUUUGAGUUUAUGGAGAGCCAUAUGUGGCAAGGAACUGAGGGUGGCAUCCAGGCAACAGACUUCAAGAAACUGAGGCUGUCAGUCCAACAACCCACAAGAACUGAAUCUGACCAACAAUCACAGGAACAAACUUAGAAGUAUACUCUUUCCCAGACAAACCUUCAGAUGAGACCACAGCCCCAGCCAUAAGCUUGAAAACAAUCUCAUGAGGGACCUUGAGCCACAGGCAUGUAGUAAAGCUAUGCCAGGAAUCCUGCCUGCCCCACAGAAAAUGUAAAAAAAAUAAAUUUUUAUUG
rnacentral:lncRNA from 1 species